rnacentral:ncRNA from 1 species
GAAAACGUAGUUCGAAACCAUCCUACGUAAAAAAACUAAGGGAGU